rnacentral:rRNA from 1 species
GACGAACGCUGGCGGCGUGCUUAACACAUGCAAGUCGAACGGAAAGGCCCUGCUUUUGUGGGGUGCUCGAGUGGCGAACGGGUGAGUAACACGUGAGUAACCUGCCCUUGACUUUGGGAUAACUUCAGGAAACUGGGGCUAAUACCGGAUAGGAGCUCCUGCUGCAUGGUGGGGGUUGGAAAGUUUCGGCGGUUGGGGAUGGACUCGCGGCUUAUCAGCUUGUUGGUGGGGUAGUGGCUUACCAAGGCUUUGACGGGUAGCCGGCCUGAGAGGGUGACCGGCCACAUUGGGACUGAGGUACGGCCCAGACUCCUACGGGAGGCAGCAGUGGGGAAUAUUGCACAAUGGGCGGAAGCCUGAUGCAGCAACGCCGCGUGCGGGAUGACGGCCUUCGGGUUGUAAACCGCUUUCGCCUGUGACGAAGCGUGAGUGACGGUAAUGGGUAAAGAAGCACCGGCAACUACGUG